CGGCAGCACGGGGGCAACCCUGGUGGCGAGUGGCGAACGGGUGAGUAAUAUAUCGGAACAUGUCCGGAAGUGGGGGAUAACGUACCGAAAGGUACGCUAAUACCGCAUAUGCCCUGAGGGGGAAAGGAGGGGAUCGCAAGACCUUUCGCUUUCGGAGUGGCCGAUAUCGGAUUAGCUAGUUGGUGAGGUAAAGGCUCACCAAGGCGACGAUCCGUAGCUGGUCUGAGAGGACGACCAGCCACACUGGAACUGAGACACGGUCCAGACUCCUACGGGAGGCAGCAGUGGGGAAUUUUGGACAAUGGGGGCAACCCUGAUCCAGCCAUGCCGCGUGAGUGAAGAAGGCCUUCGGGUUGUAAAGCUCUUUCAGACGGAAAGAAACGGUUACGGCUAAUACCCGUGACUAAUGACGGUACCGUCAGAAGAAGCACCGGCUAACUACGUGCCAGCAGCCGCGGUAAUACGUAGGGUGCGAGCGUUAAUCGGAAUUACUGGGCGUAAAGCGUGCGCAGGCGGUUUUGUAAGACAGACGUGAAAUCCCCGGGCUUAACCUGGGAACUGCGUUUGUGACUGCAAGACUAGAGUACGGCAGAGGGGGGUAGAAUUCCACGUGUAGCAGUGAAAUGCGUAGAUAUGUGGAGGAAUACCGAUGGCGAAGGCAGCCCCCUGGGUCGAUACUGACGCUCAUGCACGAAAGCGUGGGGAGCAAACAGGAUUAGAUACCCUGGUAGUCCACGCCCUAAACGAUGUCAACUAGGUGUUGGGGAAGGAGACUUCUUUAGUACCGCAGCUAACGCGAUAAGUUGACCGCCUGGGGAGUACGGUCGC
rnacentral:rRNA from 1 species